CGACCGGCGCACGGGUGAGUAACACGUAUGCAACCUGGCCGUCACAGGUGGAUAACCGGAAGAAAUUCCGACUAAUACAGCAUAACGCUCCUGAGGGACAUCCCUUGGGAGUCAAAGGAGGCAACUCCGGUGACGGAUGGGCAUGCGGCGCAUUAGGUAGUUGGUAGGGUAACGGCCUACCAAGCCGACGAUGCGUAGGGGUUCUGAGAGGAAGGUCCCCCACAUUGGAACUGAGACACGGUCCAAACUCCUACGGGAGGCAGCAG
rnacentral:rRNA from 1 species